AACGAACGCUGGCGGCAGGCUUAACACAUGCAAGUCGAACGCCCCGCAAGGGGAGUGGCAGACGGGUGAGUAACGCGUGGGAACAUACCCUUUUCUACGGAAUAGCUCUGGGAAACUGGAAUUAAUACCGUAUACGCCCUACGGGGGGAAAGAUUUAUCGGGGAAGGAUUGGCCCGCGUUGGAUUAGCUAGUUGGUGGGGUAAAGGCCUACCAAGGCGACGAUCCAUAGCUGGUCUGAGAGGAUGAUCAGCCACAUUGGGACUGAGACACGGCCCAAACUCCUACGGGAGGCAGCAGUGGGGAAUAUUGGACAAUGGGCGCAAGCCUGAUCCAGCCAUGCCGCGUGAGUGAUGAAGGCCUUAGGGUUGUAAAGCUCUUUCACCGAUGAAGAUAAUGACGGUAGUCGGAGAAGAAGCCCCGGCUAACUUCGUG
rnacentral:rRNA from 1 species